rnacentral:rRNA from 1 species
UGGGGAAUCUUGGACAAUGGGCGCAAGCCUGAUCCAGCCAUGCCGCGUGGAUGAUGAAGGCCUUAGGGUUGUAAAAUCCUUUCGUUGGGGACGAUAAUGACGGUACCCAAAGAAGAAGCUCCGGCUAACUUCGUGCCAGCAGCCGCGGUAAUACGAAGGGGGCUAGCGUUGUUCGGAUUUACUGGGCGUAAAGCGCGUGUAGGCGGAUUUGUAAGUUGGGGGUGAAAUCCCGAGGCUCAACCUCGGAACUGCCUCCAAAACUACAAGUCUGGACCUAAGUAGAGGCAAGUGGAAUUGCGAGUGUAGAGGUGAAAUUCGUAGAUAUUCGCAGGAACACCAGUGGCGAAGGCGACUUGCUGGACUUAUGGUGACGCUGAGACGCGAAAGCGUGGGGAGCAAACAGGAUUAGAUACCCGAGUAGUCCCUGAGCGGGCUGGCAAGGCGCAU